rnacentral:misc_RNA from 1 species
AACGCAAAUUGCACUGUUGGGUCCUCCCAGCAGUAUGUCUGUUUGAGUGUCAGCACUUUCCUUAAUAAUCAUCACUAUUUUUAUUAUUAAAAUGGUGGAUGAAUAUUGACAUUUUAUGAUCAUCAUCAUCAUCAUAAUGUGUUUAAGUAAAUUGGCUUUUUUUCUCUUUUUUUUCAAUUAAUGGAAGCACACUAUUUUAACAUGUAAUAGAUUAACCUCUGCUUACAUGCACAUUUUAAGCAAUAGCAAGGUGUUUUAUUAUUAUAAGUUGUGUUGCACCCAAGAAAGAAAAAAAGAGAAUUUCUUACUACUACUAAGAAAAAGAAGAAAGUCAUCAACAAUUACUAUUACAACAAAAUUUUAACAUCUUGACCUCAAAUUAGGCAAGGCUACCCGCUGAAUUUAA